GACGAACGCUGGCGGCGUGCUUAACACAUGCAAGUCGAACGGAAAGGCCCUGCUUUUGUGGGGUGCUCGAGUGGCGAACGGGUGAGUAACACGUGAGUAACCUGCCCUUGACUUUUGGAUAACUUCAGGUAACUGGGGCUAAUACCGGAUAGGAGCUCCUGCUGCAUGGUGGGUGUUGGAAAGUUUCGGCGGUUGGGGAUGGACUCGCGGCUUAUCAGCUUGUUGGUGGGGUAGUGGCUUACCAAGGCUUUGACGGGUAGCCGGCCUGAGAGGGUGACCGGCCACAUUGGGACUGAGAUACGGCCCAGACUCCUACGGGAGGCAGCAGUGGGGAAUAUUGCACAAUGGGCGGAAGCCUGAUGCAGCAACGCCGCGUGCGGGAUGACGGCCUUCGGGUUGUAAACCGCUUUCGCCUGUGACGAAGCGUGAGUGACGGUAAUGGGUAAAGAAGCACCGGCUAACUACGUG
rnacentral:rRNA from 1 species